UGGUAUAAUGACACUGUUGUUUUUGAAGACAAUGCCAUUAAUAAUGUGUAUAUCAGUUUUUAAAGGAAAAUAAGACCUAAGGAUGUCUGGAUGUAAUUUUUUAUGUUCAGGCCAACCUUCUAUGCAACAUUUACUUAAGAGUGACAAUUCCUUGUCUUGGGAAGUUAGUUCUUGAAUAGAUUUAAGUUUAUUUGGACUAACUGACAGUGAUCUAAUGACUAAAUUGACAUGUAAAUCUAGGUCAGAAUCAAGAUCACGUAAUGACUGUUCUGGUAAAGCUGCUCUGGACAGAGUAUCAGCUACAUAAAGAUAUUUACCUGGUUUGUAAGUUACAUUGAGGUCAUAUGGUUGUAAUCUCAGCAUUAUUCUUUGAAGACGGGGUGGAAUGUUGUAAAUUGGUUUUUUAUAGAGCGAUACUAUUGGUUUGUGGUCUGUUUCAACCAAAGUGUGGCGACCAUAUACAUAUUGGUGAAACUUUGUACAACCAAAUAGGAUUGCUAAUAGCUCUUUCUCAAUCAGAGAGAGUAUGACUGUUGACAUGAGCUUAAUGAAGCUGAAGCAUAUGCAAUGGGGUGUUUAUCAUGGCAAAUCACUGCACCCAUGGCAUCUUUAGACGAAUCAACUGACAGUGUAAUAGGUUUAUUUUGAUCAUAAUAUGUCAAGACAGGGGCUUUAGUUAUAGACUCUUUUAAUACUGUAACGGACGUGACGUCGCCAGUCACAUCCUGCCAAGCCAAAGCCAAGCCAAGCCAAGCCAAGCCAAGCCAAGCCAAAGCCAAGCCAAAGCCAAAGCCAUAGCCAAUGCCAAUGCCAUACCCAAUGCCAUAGCCAAUGCCAAAGCCAAGCCAUGCCAUGUUGACCAACCCUCCAGCCAACCGCCAUGCCUGCCAACCGCAAAUGCCAGCCACUUGGAGGGGAUGAGCCUAUAUAAGCCAAAGCCAGCCAUAUUAAAACCUACUUUUUGGAAGACGUAAAAUAAAGAAUAAGUGUGCUGUCACUCUGCCAUUUUAUUUUCACUGUCAAUAAUUAUAUUAAUUAAAAUACUAUUAUCAAUAAAAUAAUAGGGCAAUUAUACUCAGAAGUGCGAUAAAACGACCUCGCCACAAGUUUUUCGACCUUCUGACGAAUCAAUGUCGGAGGAAGAUGAGGAUACUCCUUCACCGCCGGCACUGAAGCUGCUCAAGAAUCUGCUAAUAAAAAGAAGGAUAAAGGCUCUACGCGAUCUUCAAUAUGACUGUGUUGAUGAAGCUCCAAAUAAGUUACAAGUACAUCGUGCUGCAUUUUUGACUCCGUAAUUCGACCCUGACAGUGAGGAAUAUACGAUAAACUACGAGGCCAAGCGAAGAAGAGGUAUAAUCGCCUGUAGGACUACGAUUAUACGUGGGAGCAAUGGAAAAAGCAUUCAUCAAGAUGGCCGACGUUAAUCUUUUGUUCGGUCAACCUAUCAACAGCGAAGUCAACAAAGAAAAACAAAACAACAAAAGUCCAUCUGGCUCUUUCAUCAUUCAAGUGCGCGUUCUGGAGAAUAAGGUCGGCAACGAUGUGGUAACGCCACCUCGGCACUACGAGGGUGGUGGUCUACUCUUAUCCCUCUACCCUGCUCCGUGGCGUAGAUGGUUACAUCAAAGUCGUCAACACCGGGUGCGAGGUUAUCGUGUGGUCGCCGGAAGAGGUCCUAACAAGGGUUGAAAGCUGCCAGGAAUCUCCGUUACAGCCGUAUAGUCAGGAUGGCCGAGUGUAACGGACGUGACGUCGCCAGUCACAUCCUGCCAAGCCAAGCCAAGCCAAAGCCAAGCCAAAGCCAAAGCCAUAGCCAAUGCCAUAGCCAAUGCCAAAGCCAAGCCAUGCCAUGUUGACCAACCCUCCAGCCAACCGCCAUGCCUGCCAACCGCAAAUGCCAGCCACUUGGAGGGGAUGAGCCUAUAUAAGCCAAAGCCAGCCAUAUUAAAACCUACUUUUUGGAAGACGUAAAAUAAAGAAUAAGUGUGCUGUCA